rnacentral:rRNA from 1 species
GAUGAACGCUGGCGGCGUGCCUAAUACAUGCAAGUCGAGCGAACAGACGAGGAGCUUUCUCCUCUGACGUUAUCGGCGGUCGGGUGCUUAACACGUGGAUAACCUACCUAUCCGACUGGGAUAAUUUCGCGAAACCGGAUCUAAUACCGGAUAAUUUAUUGAACCUCAUUGUUCAAUAGUUAAAUACGGUUUUUCUUUCACUUAUAGACUGAUCCGCCCCGCAUUAGCUAGUUGGUGAGGUAACGGCUUACCAAGGCAACGAUGCGUAGCCGACCUGAGCGGGUGAUAGGACAGACGGGAACAGAGGAACGGUCGAGACUCCGACGGGAGGAAGCGGUAGGGAAUCCUACGCAAUGGGGGAGAGGGUGACGGAGGAAAGCGGGGUGAGUGAUGAAGGACUUAGGAUGGGAAAACGAUGUAAUUAGGGAAGAAGAAAUGUGUAAGUAACUAUGAAGGUAUUGACGGUACCGAGUGAGAAAGCCACGGCUAACUACGUG